CGGGGAGUGGCGCAGUUGGUAGCGCGCGUGGUUUGGGACCACGAGGCCGCAGGUUCGAGUCCUGUCUCCCCGACCA
rnacentral:tRNA from 1 species